UACGUAGGUGACAAGCGUUGUCCGGAUUUACUGGGCGUAAAGAGCGCGCAGGCGGUCGAUCAAGUCGAGUGUGAAAGCCCCCGGCUCAACUGGGGAGGGUCAUUCGAUACUGAUCGACUCGAAGGCAGGAGAGGGUAGUGGAAUUCCCGGUGUAGUGGUGAAAUGCGUAGAUAUCGGGAGGAACACCAGUGGCGAAGGCGGGUCUCUGGACAGUUCCUGACGCUGAGGCACGAAGGCCAGGGGAGCAAACGGG
rnacentral:rRNA from 1 species